GUUCUUGGAUAUUUAAUUUCGUGGUUUUUCCGAGGUCUGCAUAAAAGCCUAUAGAAAAUUUGUCAUUCUUUGAACAUUUAAUUUCGUGGUUUACCUGUACUCACAAAGUCCACGAAAAUUGGUAUCCAACGAAUAAUAUUGAAUCCACAUGUACAGUAUUUGAUAUAGGAUAACAUUUAUUUCAGUAUCACAGUUAGAUUCUGUUGAAUGGAGAGUAGACUACAUAUUAAGUUCUAGUCACUUAAAAAAUAUUGAUGAACCGUGUGUACAACUAAGGUUAAAGGUCAGGGAUCCAAAUACAGAUAAUGUCAAACCAGUCACGUUUACUGUCACAGCUGAUAAAUUUAGGAUUUUGUUGAAUG
rnacentral:lncRNA from 1 species